GAUGAACGCUGGCGGCGUGCCUAAUACAUGCAAGUCGAGCGAACGGACGAGAAGCUUGCUUCUCUGAUGUUAGCGGCGGACGGGUGAGUAACACGUGGAUAACCUACCUAUAAGACUGGGAUAACUUCGGGAAACCGGAGCUAAUACCGGAUAAUAUUUUGAACCGCAUGGUUCAAAAGUGAAAGACGGUCUUGCUGUCACUUAUAGAUGGAUCCGCGCUGCAUUAGCUAGUUGGUAAGGUAACGGCUUACCAAGGCAACGAUGCAUAGCCGACCUGAGAGGGUGAUCGGCCACACUGGAACUGAGACACGGUCCAGACUCCUACGGGAGGCAGCAGUAGGGAAUCUUCCGCAAUUGGCGAAAGCCUGACGGAGCAACGCCGCGUGAGUGAUGAAGGUCUUCGGAUCGUAAAACUCUGUUAUUAGGGAAGAACAUAUGUGUAAGUAACUGUGCACAUCGUGACGGUACCUAAUCAGAAAGCCACGGCUAACUACGUG
rnacentral:rRNA from 1 species